AGCAAUUUACUUUUUUCAUUCACCCAUUCAUGCACCAAUGGUGGAGCUGCCAUGCAAGGUUCUGCCUGCCAUUGGGAGCAACUUCAGGUUCAGUGU